ACAUCCAGAAGGUGCUGUGUUUCACUGACAGGCUGUCAGACUAACGCCCUGAUGAGCUCAGCUGGGACAAACUGGUCUGAUGUUUAGGAACACAGAACGUUCAGAUGUUGGAGCUUCACGUCACCUACUGAAGAAGGAGACCCACCAGUAAAGAGACGGUCUGGACCAGACCAAAAAUAUGGCGAUGACAUCAUGGAACUGGUCUUUGGAAAAGUUUUCCCUGAACCAACUCCGUUUCUAGAUGAGGUAGAGAAGAUCUGCAUCUCACCAACCCUCUGGUCUCAGUAUUCAGACAACGGAGGUCUCCCACUGUUAUCCAGGACCAGUUUGAAGCCCACAUACUGCCCCUCCCUCCUCAUCAGGAAACAUCAAUCCGUAUCCUGAGGACAACAGAAGAUGGCAGGAGGACAGGAACUCUGAGACCUAGAUACCACCAGCACAGAGACACAAAGCACCUGUGUGCACAACGCCUGUUUAACUACUAAAGCCUGUUUAUUAUAUUUUUCUACUUAUUUGCUGUGAGGUUAAUACUUAGAAAAUUUGUAUAUUAAUGUAAACAAUUAAAAAAAUCACUGAUUGUAUGCUUUCUUUUAGAUGUAAUGGUCCAAACUCAGCCUUGUAGACAUUUAUUGCAUCCUGUAGGUAAAUACACAGAACAGGCUCAGAUCCAGGAUGACCCAGCAUGCUCUUCUUCCAUUCUGGCUGUUAGGGAUUUUAUCAAUAACUCAAUGCCUACUGAUGUUUUCACCUAACAGUAUUUAUUUAGAAUGCAGGUAAGAUUUAACCAUAUUUGUUAGCAAAGCAGACUGAUCUUGGGAAUUUCACUGCAGCACUGAUGUCCACCUCUGUGUACACAUUAGAGAAUUACCACGUUACAGCUAAACACACAUUUAAUAAAGAUAUAGGCUACGCAUUGCAGACAAUAAAAACAAAGUUGUAAGCAUUAGAAUUAUAAAGAUCACAUUAAAGAACAUUUGGAGGAAUGUGCUUUAUUUUUGACUAGAAUCUCAAAUCUUUAAAUUAAAAUGUAACUGCUUUUUAUCCAUUUUCAGCCAUUAAGACACCCAAUA